UACGUAGGGUGCGAGCGUUGUCCGGAAUUAUUGGGCGUAAAGGGCUCGUAGGCGGUCUGUUGCGUCAGGAGUGAAAAACUCGGGGCUUAACCCCCGAGCCUGCUUCUGAUACGGGCAGACUAGAGGUAUGCAGGGGGAGAACGGAAUUCCUGGUGUAGCGGUGAAAUGCGCAGAUAUCGGGAGGAACACCAGUGGCGAAGGCGACUACCUGGCCUGUUCUUGACGCUGAGGCGCGAAAGCUAGGGGAGCAAACGGG
rnacentral:rRNA from 1 species